GGUCAGUAGGUUGGUCGUGCCACCGGUACGUACUGGUCUCACUGAUUCCUCCUUCCUGAAGAACCGUAAUGCCAUUAAUUUGGUGUUGCGGGGAAACAGGACUGUUACUUUGAAAAAAUUAGAGGGUUUAAAGCAAGCUAACGCUUGAAUACAUUAGCAUGGAAUAAUGAAAUAGGACGAUCGAUCCUAUUUUGUUGGUUUCUAGGAUUGACGUA
rnacentral:rRNA from 1 species